UAAUACAUGCAAGUCGAGCGGACUUGAUGGAGCUUGCUCCAUUAAGUUAGCGGCGGACGGGUGAGUAACACGUGGGCAACCUGCCUGUAAGACUGGGAUAACUCCGGGAAACCGGAGCUAAUACCGGAUAGUAUCUUGAACCGCAUGGUUCAAGUUGGAAAGACGGUUUCGGCUGUCACUUACAGAUGGGCCCGCGGCGCAUUAGCUAGUUGGUGAGGUAAUGGCUCACCAAGGCAACGAUGCGUAGCCGACCUGAGAGGGUGAUCGGCCACACUGGGACUGAGACACGGCCCAGACUCCUACGGGAGGCAGCAGUAGGGAAUCUUCCGCAAUGGACGAAAGUCUGACGGAGCAACGCCGCGUGAGUGAUGAAGGUUUUCGGAUCGUAAAACUCUGUUGUUAGGGAAGAACAAGUGCGAGAGUAACUGCUCGCACCUUGACGGUACCUAACCAGAAAGCCACGGCUAACUACGUGCCAGCAGCCGCGGUAAUACGUAGGUGGCAAGCGUUGUCCGGAAUUAUUGGGCGUAAAGCGCGCGCAGGCGGUUUCUUAAGUCUGAUGUGAAAGCCCCCGGCUCAACCGGGGAGGGUCAUUGGAAACUGGGAAACUUGAGUGCAGAAGAGGAGAGUGGAAUUCCACGUGUAGCGGUGAAAUGCGUAGAGAUGUGGAGGAACACCAGUGGCGAAGGCGACUCUCUGGUCUGUAACUGACGCUGAGGCGCGAAAGCGUGGGGAGCGAACAGGAUUAGAUACCCUGGUAGUCCACGCCGUAAACGAUGAGUGCUAAGUGUUAGAGGGUUUCCGCCCUUUAGUGCUGCAGCUAACGC
rnacentral:rRNA from 1 species